UACUCGAGUGGCGAACGGGUGAGUAACACGUGGGUGAUCUGCCCUGCACUUCGGGAUAAGCUUGGGAAACUGGGUCUAAUACCGGAUAGGAGCCAUCUUUAGUGUGGUGGUUGGAAAGUUUUUUCGGUGUAGGAUGAGCUCGCGGCCUAUCAGCUUGUUGGUGGGGUAAUGGCCUACCAAGGCGGCGACGGGUGGCCGGCCUGAGAGGGUGUACGGCCACAUUGGGACUGAGAUACGGCCCAG
rnacentral:rRNA from 1 species